UUUUGAUUAAUUCCUUUUAACUACUAUAUAUAAGAUAUAUAGCAGCUACUUAGGGUUAGAUCAUAACUUCAUAACCCUAGUCGCUCUUAGAGAGAGACUAGAGAGAAAAAACCCUAGCCGCUCUUAGAGAGAGACUAGAGAGAAAACCUUUUGAAAAUCUUGUUCCUUUGGUGGCUAGUACCGCGAGUCCUUUUUACAGAAUUGUGCGACGGUUCGUGCUACGUUCGUGUGGAUACCAUAGAGACGUAGUUUCGUGAGGAAUUGUGUUAGAGAUUCGAAGAGUUUCAGAAGCACUUUCAUAUUUGGUAUAAUUUCUUUACACUGAAUUAAUUGAUUUUCGCAUGGAUCCUGUUUAGGGUUUCAGAAAUUACUCUGAUUAUUUUAUUUUUCUGCUGCGUUUUUGUGUUGAAACCCUUCAGUGGUAUCAGAGCUACUUGUGAAAAGAUUAAUUCAGAUUACGUGUUUUAAUGGUAUUCGAUAUACAUGAUAUAUGAUGAUGCAUGUUUACCGAUAAGAAAUUGAAUAUAUGAUAUUCCGUUGUAUGUGUAUUCUGAUAAUAUAUAUGAUGAUACUGUUAAUCGUAUCUUUAAUCGGUGGAAUAACAAUACAACUGUUCUAAU
rnacentral:lncRNA from 1 species